rnacentral:rRNA from 1 species
UGGGGAAUAUUGGACAAUGGGCGCAAGCCUGAUCCAGCCAUGCCGCGUGAGUGAUGAAGGCCCUAGGGUUGUAAAGCUCUUUCACCGGUGAAGAUAAUGACGGUAACCGGAGAAGAAGCCCCGGCUAACUUCGUGCCAGCAGCCGCGGUAAUACGAAGGGGGCUAGCGUUGUUCGGAUUUACUGGGCGUAAAGCGCACGUAGGCGGACUAUUAAGUCAGGGGUGAAACCCCGGGGCUCAACCCCGGAACUGCCUUUGAUACUGGUAGUCUUGAGUUCGGGAGAGGUGAGUGGAAUUCCGAGUGUAGAGGUGAAAUUCGUAGAUAUUCGGAGGAACACCAGUGGCGAAGGCGGCUCACUGGCUCGAUACUGACGCUGAGGUGCGAAAGCGUGGGGAGCAAACAGG